UCGAGAAAUUAUUCCGACUGCAACGCAGAUUAAAUAUACGGAUUUAAUCUAGAUAUUAAAUGACUUGUGAAGUGAAUUAAAUCUACGGAUUUAAUUUAUACAUGAAUAAUGAGCAGAAGCCAAUAUUUGAUUGCAAACACGUGAUUAAAUAGUAAAUGCACUGAGUAACCAAGACACAAAGAUUUAUUAUUAUUUACAAUUAGAACUUCAACCACCACUAUCAAUCAAUGCAGUAAUUGAUUUUUUUUUCUGAGUACAAGAAGAAAUCUUUGCAUAUAAGCUCACCACUGGCAGCAAGAGUGACGCAGUACAUUUGGGUAAAAAAAAAAAAAACUCUCGAAUUUGCUGGCUUUAGGAGGAAGAUCAUGAUUAAGACAAUCAUCUUCCACUAUCUAAUUAUUUUAUCAACCACUACCUCCACUUAACAAAAAUGAGACCUACGCACUAGCCUGUGCCACCACCCUUUUUCUCCACCAAACUUUCCACUUACUUCAUUCCUUCUCUCAUACACCAAGCACCAGAAAGGGAGAUGAAGUUCCUGCUGCCAACUGCCAAGUAUCGAGAGUUCCUUCCCCAUUGAAUUCAUUAUCAACAACAGCAGCUACCAACACAAAAUACUCAAGGUCAAGCGCGAGAGUAAGAACUACACAAGGAGUUAGAGUACCUUAACAAAACUUUGCUAUCAGGUUGAGUUGUGAUGGGCGAUGAAGUGUUGCUGAGUGGAGUUUUUGUUGAACUUAAAGUAGGCUCAGAAAGGAUACAUGUCUUCAUACAUGUAUCUCAGUUAUGCAUUCCGCUGUAAACACUGAUUAUUUCAGUUACACCUUCCGUUGCAAACUCUGAUAAUGUUUUAGCCAAGCCCCUAACGAUGCCUUUUUCCUUUUAAGGAAUAUAACGCGAAUACAAGUUCUUUGAGUACCCUUUUUAUGCGAACUAUGCCUUUUUCCUUUUUAAGGAAUAUUUCACGCGUAUUCAA